AUGUUAAAACGACCUGGUUUGAUGAUGAUGAUGAUGAUGAAGAGAUGUAUUGUGUGUCUGGGAGGGGUAUAUGUUAAAACGACCUGGUUUGAUGAUGAUGAUGAAGAGGUAUUGUGUGUCUGGGAGGGGUAUAUGUUAAAACGACCAGGUUUAAUGAUGAUGAUGAUGAUGAAGAGAUGUAUUGUGUGUCUGGGAGGGGUAUAUGUUAAAACGACCUGGUUUGAUGAUGAUGAUGAUGAAGAUAUCUGGGAGUGUUAUGGUUUGUAUCUGCAACAAUACAUCAAACAGUGAGAAUAAAAGAUGACAUCUUGACCUCCGGUCGUUGAUUGGUUACUUGUAGACUCCAUCUUGACUACCGGUCGUUGAUUGGUUACAUGUAGACUCCAUCUUGACUACUGGUCGAUGAUUGGUUACUUGUAGACGCCAUCUUGACUACCGGUCGUUGAUUGGUUACAUGUAGACGCCAUCUUGACUACCGGUCGUUGAUUGGUUACUUGUAGACUCCAUCUUGACUACCGGUCGUUGAUUGGUUACAUGUAGACGCCAUCUUGACUACCGGUCGUUGAUUGGUUACUUGUAGACUCCAUCUUGACUACCGGUCGUUGAUUGGUUACUUGUAGACUCCAUCUUGACUACCGGUCGUUGAUUGGUUACAUGUAGAUGACUUCCUGCCUUUGCCAACCACCAGAGAAGCAACGAGUCAUAGAACCGCUAGUAUUAAAACAUGUUUAUUUGGAUUAAAAAGCCUGUGUGGAACAUCCAGUUAUACAGUAUGUAAAGACACAAAGCAGUUUAACACAUAGAGAGAAAGAAAACCAACCUCCACUUAAGUCACAUUUUUCACAGACUGAAUGAAAAUUAGACUAAAGUGAAAGUUAGGAUUCACCCACCCCCCCCCCCCCCCCCCCCCCUCAUUAGAAAGUGACCACUAGGUUACCUUAUGAAAUACAGGAUCAGGUUAAAAACAAAAGAAAUACAAACCACUGGAAUGGUUUAACAGACCUUCAGAAAAUGGCAAUCAAACUGCACCCCAAUUGGGUACACUCAAGGCACGGCACCACCCGUGCCCAUAGACUUGAAUGUGGAUGACCAUUCUAGUAAUUAUAUUUCUACGGUUGAAAAGCACUGUGCUGUAAGGCUGGCUUGCUGGUGACAUUCUGAUACUGGGAUAGAUUCAACAGGAUUCAGCAAACGGUUUCACAUGUAAAAUUACAACGGCUGCCAUUUUGGCACCAAAGUAAAGUACUGAGAUGUAAUAUGGAGGGUAGUUUGGUGUCAAUAUG
ensembl:lncRNA